CUUUUUUCUCUCAAUAAAUAACCAUUUGCUGUACUUUUUUUUCGGGUAUUUAAAUUGCUUCACAAGGGUAACAACUCAUUGGUUGCUACUAGAAUAGAGGUCUGGUGGCCAAAAGAUAAGACGUAAGUAUCUUGGUGGCAUCUCUGCACUAGUCUGAUACCAAUUUCCAACCAAGUAUAUUAUAGCCUCAGCUUCAUUGGUGAAUUUUAUGGACAUGAGUCUGUUCAUCCCAAUGUCUCAUUUGCUCUGUGUUGUGGAACUCGUUUUUCUCCUGCUGUGACACACAGAUGGAGUUGCAACUGAAUGCAAACAUAGAAUGCAACAAGUUUUGUCCUGUUCUUCAAAUAUGUCUACUAAAUGCCACUGAAAAUAUAUAGCGAUGACAUGCUAACUUUGAUAAGUUCAACAUUAUCCUUUGUUUAUUAUAUAAUUAAAUAUUAAAAUAAUUUGUAUCUCUUAUGAGAUCAAUACCAUUAA